CCCCAUUCCCAAUGGUGCCUUAAAACCAUAAGUGGCGUAAAAGGGUGAAGAUGUUCCUUUCUGGUAACGGUACACCAAAAGAUGGCGUAAUUCUUUGAGCUUUCGGAUUUCAACAGGCAAUUCAGUCACGUCAGCAUGCUUGAGAUCCAAUGUCUCCAGCUGUGCACCCUGCAAAUCUAAUACUUUUAGCAGCCUGAGACUUCCGGCAAGCAAUCUAGAGAUGCGUGAUUUAGGUGGCAGAUCUCUUACCCCGAACAUGAACAGAGAACGAAGUUGGGAGUCCUUCCUGCUUUCUUUCACUUCUCUACACGUUCCAUGAAUUGACAAGCGCCGGAGUUUUUCAGGCCAGGGUGCAUUGUUUUUAUUGGCUAUCGCUACAAAAUUUAGUUCUCCAGACUUUGAAAGAGCAAUUUCUCGCAGAAGGUCAUGGACUCGGCAUGCGCUAACCCUUCCAUUUCUAGUUGUUUUGGCUAUUUGGACUAGGCUUCUAUCAACAAGCUCAUUGAGGGAAAAUGCUCAAGUAUAGGAAACACACUUUCAAGUAACUUGGCAAAUGAUCAUAACUGAGCAACAGUACUUGCUUCAUACUCUCGAGCUUUCUGUUUCCUUCGAUAUGAGCACCAAGGCUGCGGUUAACUUUCUCCCAUUCAUCUAUUUUACCCUUCUCUUUAGUUGACAGAAGGCCCCCAAUUGCCACAAUUGCAAGCGGCAAGCCUUCACAUCUUCCUAGGAUUUCUCGAGAAAGUUUCUCCAAGUGUGGAGGACUAGAGUCUGCUCUGAAUGCCUUUCUGCAAAAUAAUUUCCAAGACAAAUCCUCAGUCAAGGGUUUCAGAUUAUAUAUCUGAUCAUCAAAUCUUGUGCAGGCAGUCCGAGCUAUAUCAGCAUGUCGGGUUGUGACCAUCACUCGGCUCCCAAAUUGAGAGUUAGGGAAUGCAUAUGUUAGAGCUUCCCAUGCCUCUAUACCCCAUAUAUCAUCCAAAACAAUUACAUACCUCUUUUGAUUCAGGAAUUCGUUGAUUUUCAUUUUCAGGCCUUCUAUUUUCAUGGUCUUAACUUCUUGGGGGAUUCGUUGCUUGAUUUGUUCAAACAGUUGCUGAAUUAUGUCUUUCAGGAUCUCUUUAAUCAUGAAUGACUCUGUAACUGUGAUCCAAGCUUGGAUCUGGAAAUGGCUUUUCACUAUUGCAUCAUCGUAAACCUUUUUUACCAGGGUGGUUUUCCCUGUCCCCCCCAUUCCAACCACUGAGAUUACCCUGAGUCCAGGCUCACCCUUCAAAAGGUACUCAAUCAGCUGCCCCUUGGGCUUGUCUAUUCCUACUAACCCAGCUUCCUCUACAAGAAGAGCAUCCACUCGGCAAUCGUGCCACGAUCUGCUGUUAGAAUUAAAGGUGGAUGAG